rnacentral:rRNA from 1 species
CCCUACGGGAGGCAGCAGUGAGGAAUAUUGGUCAAUGGGCGGAAGCCUGAACCAGCCAAGUCGCGUGAGGGAAGACGGCCCUACGGGUUGUAAACCUCUUUUGCCGGGGAGCAAUGCCCAGCUCGCGAGCUGGGAAGGAGAGUACCCGGAGAAAAAGCAUCGGCUAACUCCGUGCCAGCAGCCGCGGUAAUACGGAGGAUCCGAGCGUUAUCCGGAUUCAUUGGGUUUAAAGGGUGAGUAGGUGGAUUUUUAAGUUAGCGGUGAACUACCGAGGCUCAACAUCGGGGCGGCCG